UAAUUGAAGAGUUUGAUCAUGGCUCAGAUUGAACGCUGGCGGCAGGCCUAACACAUGCAAGUCGAGCGGUAACAGAAAGUAGCUUGCUACUUUGCUGACGAGCGGCGGACGGGUGAGUAAUGCUUGGGAACAUGCCUUGAGGUGGGGGACAACAGUUGGAAACGACUGCUAAUACCGCAUAAUGUCUACGGACCAAAGGGGGCUUCGGCUCUCGCCUUUAGAUUGGCCCAAGUGGGAUUAGCUAGUUGGUGAGGUAAUGGCUCACCAAGGCGACGAUCCCUAGCUGGUUUGAGAGGAUGAUCAGCCACACUGGGACUGAGACACGGCCCAGACUCCUACGGGAGGCAGCAGUGGGGAAUAUUGCACAAUGGGCGCAAGCCUGAUGCAGCCAUGCCGCGUGUGUGAAGAAGGCCUUCGGGUUGUAAAGCACUUUCAGUCAGGAGGAAAGCGUGGUGGUUAAUACCCAUCAUGUGUGACGUUACUGACAGAAGAAGCACCGGCUAACUCCGUGCCAGCAGCCGCGGUAAUACGGAGGGUGCGAGCGUUAAUCGGAAUUACUGGGCGUAAAGCGUACGCAGGCGGUUUGUUAAGCGAGAUGUGAAAGCCCCGGGCUCAACCUGGGAACUGCAUUUCGAACUGGCAAACUAGAGUGUGAUAGAGGGUGGUAGAAUUUCAGGUGUAGCGGUGAAAUGCGUAGAGAUCUGAAGGAAUACCGAUGGCGAAGGCAGCCACCUGGGUCAACACUGACGCUCAUGUACGAAAGCGUGGGGAGCAAACGGGAUUAGAUACCCCGGUAGUCCACGCCGUAAACGAUGUCUACUAGAAGCUCGGAGCCUCGGUUCUGUUUUUCAAAGCUAACGCAUUAAGUAGACCGCCUGGGGAGUACGGCCGCAAGGUUAAAACUCAAAUGAAUUGACGGGGGCCCGCACAAGCGGUGGAGCAUGUGGUUUAAUUCGAUGCAACGCGAAGAACCUUACCUACACUUGACAUACAGAGAACUUACCAGAGAUGGUUUGGUGCCUUCGGGAACUCUGA
rnacentral:rRNA from 1 species